rnacentral:rRNA from 1 species
AGAGUUUGAUCCUGGCUCAGAUUGAACGCUGGCGGCAUGCCUUACACAUGCAAGUCGAACGGCAGCACGAGAGCUUGCUCUUGGUGGCGAGUGGCGAACGGGUGAGUAAUAUAUCGGAACGUACCCUAGAGUGGGGGAUAACGUAGCGAAAGUUACGCUAAUACCGCAUACGAUCUACGGAUGAAAGUGGGGGAUCGCAAGACCUCAUGCUCAUGGAGCGGCCGAUAUCUGAUUAGCUAGUUGGUGGGGUAAAAGCUCACCAAGGCGACGAUCAGUAGCUGGUCUGAGAGGACGACCAGCCACACUGGAACUGAGACACGGUCCAGACUCCUACGGGAGGCAGCAGUGGGGAAUUUUGGACAAUGGGCGCAAGCCUGAUCCAGCAAUGCCGCGUGAGUGAAGAAGGCCUUCGGGUUGUAAAGCUCUCUUGUCAGGGAAGAAACGGUGGACUCUAAUACAGAUCACUAAUGACGGUACCUGAAGAAUAAGCACCGGCUAACUACGUGCCAGCAGCCGCGGUAAUACGUAGGGUGCAAGCGUUAAUCGGAAUUACUGGGCGUAAAGCGUGCGCAGGCGGUUGUGCAAGACAGAUGUGAAAUCCCCGGGCUCAACCUGGGAAUUGCAUUUGUGACUGCACGGCUAGAGUGUGUCAGAGGGGGGUAGAAUUCCACGUGUAGCAGUGAAAUGCGUAGAGAUGUGGAGGAAUACCGAUGGCGAAGGCAGCCCCCUGGGAUAACACUGACGCUCAUGCACGAAAGCGUGGGGAGCAAACAGGAUUAGAUACCCUGGUAGUCCACGCCCUAAACGAUGUCUACUAGUUGUCGGGUCUUAAUUGACUUGGUAACGCAGCUAACGCGUGAAGUAGACCGCCUGGGGAGUACGGUCGCAAGAUUAAAACUCAAAGGAAUUGACGGGGACCCGCACAAGCGGUGGAUGAUGUGGAUUAAUUCGAUGCAACGCGAAAAACCUUACCUACCCUUGACAUGUCUGGAAUCCUUGAGAGAUCAGGGAGUGCUCGAAAGAGAAUCAGAACACAGGUGCUGCAUGGCUGUCGUCAGCUCGUGUCGUGAGAUGUUGGGUUAAGUCCCGCAACGAGCGCAACCCUUGUCAUUAGUUGCUACGAAAGGGCACUCUAAUGAGACUGCCGGUGACAAACCGGAGGAAGGUGGGGAUGACGUCAAGUCCUCAUGGCCCUUAUGGGUAGGGCUUCACACGUCAUACAAUGGUACAUACAGAGGGCCGCCAACCCGCGAGGGGGAGCUAAUCCCAGAAAGUGUAUCGUAGUCCGGAUUGUAGUCUGCAACUCGACUACAUGAAGUUGGAAUCGCUAGUAAUCGCGGAUCAGCAUGUCGCGGUGAAUACGUUCCCGGGUCUUGUACACACCGCCCGUCACACCAUGGGAGCGGGUUUCACCAGAAGUGGGUAGCCUAACCGCAAGGAGGGCGCUCACCACGGUGGGAUUCGUGACUGGGGUGAAGUCGUAACAAGGUA